rnacentral:rRNA from 1 species
UACAGGGGGUGCAAACGUUGCUCGGAAUUAUUGGGCGUAAAGCGCACGUAGGCGGUUUGUUAUGUCGGAUGUGAAAGCCCUUGGCUCAACUGAGGAAGUGCAUCCGAAAACUGGCAAGCUAGAGUAUGUAAAGAGGGGUCGCGGAAAUUUCCCCGGUGUAGAGGUGAAAAUUCGUAGAUAUCGGGGAGGAACACCGGUGGCGAAGGCGGCGACCUGGGACAAUCUGAGAGUGCAAAGCGUGGG